AGCAGUCGCCGCGGGAAUACAGAGGGUGCGAGCGUUAAUCGGAUUUACUGGGCGUAAAGCGUGCGUAGGCGGCUUCUUAAGUCGGAUGUGAAAUCCCUGAGCUUAACUUAGGAAUUGCAUUCGAUACGGGGAAGCUAGAGUAUGGGAGAGGAUGGUAGAAUUCCAGGUGUAGCGGUGAAAUGCGUAGAGAUCUGGAGGAAUACCGAUGGCGAAGGCAGCCAUCUGGCCUAAUACUGACGCUGAGGUACGAAAGCAUGGGGAGCAAACAGGAUUAGAUACCCCCGUAGUCCCUGUCUCUUAUAC
rnacentral:rRNA from 1 species